GCUAAAACCAAAAGUGCACUAUAUUACAGGGGCCAAAAACACUAUUAACCCUUUAUUAUAUUAGGUAAUUAUGACUACACCAUGAUAUUAUUGUUUUCCAUUUCUUCUAUGAGUUCAUGAUAGCAACAUACUUCCAUAAUAUAACAAUACAUAUGAUCUUUUCAAUGAAAUUGACAACUUAAUCUAUAUUGUAGAACUCAGCACUGCAUUGACAAGAUAAAUUAAUGCACUUCGGAAAUAGAUCAAUUGGACACAGAUCUGGUGGACAUUCAUUGCUAAAAAGGCAUGGAAGAACCUCAGGGAUGCCUAAUAAGAACCAAAUAAAUGUUAAAAUCGGUGAUGGAAUAUUAUAUAUAAAUUAAAGGGUAUUUUUACAUACAUGUUGUUGUUUGAAGAAGUUAAUAUGGAUUUAGAUUAAUCAAAAGACCAACACUUCAAAGUAUAACAAAGUCAACUUAAGAACAUUAUAAGAAACUUCAAAAAUGUUAAACGAACUUUGUUUUUAGUCCUCGUAUAAGAAGUGAUAUGUUUUGAUCCCUGUAUUUUUUUAACAAGUAAUAAAUUAAAUAUUAAUUUUUCUAAACAUCAAAUUUUGACCUAAAAUUCAAAUUUUGAAAUAAUUUUUUUCAGAGGAACUUUGUAUUAUUAUGUUCUAAAUAAAUAUGUCAAGAAUAAUUCAAACGUUUAAAAGUUUAAGUAUAAUUAAUCAAAUUUUAAUUUUACAAGGACAAAAAAUUUAUAUUAUGGAAAAUUUUAUAAGAAACUUAUAAAAUGAUGAAUGAAUUUUGUUUUUAGUCCUUAUAAAAAAAAGUGACAUGUUUUGAUCCUUAUAUUUUUUUAACAUGUAAUGAAUUAAAUAUUAAUUUUUCAAAACACCAAAAUUUCAAGAUCAAAGUACUAAAAUUUUUGAACAAAAAAUCAAAUAUUGAACUAAUUUUUUGUGGAGAUACUUUGUAUGAUGUAAUAAAUAAGUAUGUAAAAAAUCAUUCAAAAGUUUAUGCGUUGAAAAAUUUUAUAAGGACAAAACAUGACACUUUUUUAUGAAGACUAAAAAAAAAUUUACUAUAUUUAUAAGACCAAAAACUUUAAUUUAACUCUAAGUUAAAUUAGAAAUUUGAAAAUGAUAUGAAACACUACUCACUUUCGUUGGUUGCGACCAUAAAUAGGGAGACAAAGAUGAGGAAAGCAAAAAAGAA
rnacentral:lncRNA from 1 species